rnacentral:rRNA from 1 species
AUUGAACGCUGGCGGCAGGCUUAACACAUGCAAGUCGAACGAGUGGCGGACGGGUGAGUAAUGCUUGGGAAUCUAGCUUAUGGAGGGGGAUAACUACGGGAAACUGUAGCUAAUACCGCGUUCCCUAGGUAGAGCCCAAGUGGGAUUAGGUAGUUGGUGAGGUAAAGGCUCACCAAGCCGACGAUCUCGCGCUGGUCUGCGAGGAUGACCAGCCACACCGGGACGGAGACACGGCCCAGACUCCUACGGGAGGCAGCAGUGGGGAAUAUGGCGCAAUGGGGGCAACCCUGACGCAGCCAUGCCGCGUGUAUGAAGAAGGCCUUCGGGUUGUAAAGUACUUUCAGUCGGGAGGCGUUACCGACAGAAGAAGCCCCGGCUAACUCCGUGCCAGCCGCCGCGGUAAUAC